ACGACCUUACUUGAACAGGAUCUGUUCUAUAGGAUCGUACCGCUUCAUCCUUGACUAAUAAGGAGGCAAACACUCAAGCUUGGUUGAUGACGCAUGACCUGUGGGGCCAGAGCGUGAUUAGCGGCGACGGAUUUGGGCUGCUGCCCCUUCGGAGCUUGUAGAGGAUCGUUCUUGACCGGCCUGUCCGGUUGAGGUGGCCCACAGGGUUGUCUGACAAGCG